rnacentral:rRNA from 1 species
UACGGAGGGUGCAAGCGUUAUCCGGAUUCACUGGGUUUAAAGGGUGCGUAGGCGGGCAGGUAAGUCAGAGGUGAAAUCUCCGGGCUUAACCCGGAAACUGCCUUUGAUACUAUCUGUCUUGAAUAUGGUGGAGGUAAGCGGAAUAUGUCAUGUAGCGGUGAAAUGCUUAGAGAUGACAUAGAACACCUAUUGCGAAGGCAGCUUACUACGCCUAUAUUGACGCUGAGGCACGAAAGCGUGGGGAUCAAACAGGAUUAGAACCUACCG